CGUUCGAGCGUCAUUACACCACUCAAGCCUGGCUUGGUAUUGGGCGACGGGGCCUCCCCGCGCCUUCAAUUCAUCGGCUGGACGGUUCGAAUCUCAGCGUUGUGGUUUCAUCAAAUCGCUGGCGAGAACGACCGGACGUCGCCGUUAAACUCUCAUCAAAGGUUGACCUCGGAUCGGGUAGGGAUACCCGCUGAACUUAA
rnacentral:misc_RNA from 1 species